UGGGAACGAGAAGACACUCAUGUAGGAGU
rnacentral:piRNA from 1 species